rnacentral:tRNA from 1 species
AGAGACUUAGGUUAAUUUAAACCAAGAGCCUUCAAAGCUCGUAAUGGGGGUUAAAAUCCACCAGACUCUA